rnacentral:misc_RNA from 1 species
GAUGAAGAACGUAGCGAAAUGCGAUACUUGGUGUGAAUUGCAGAAUCCCGUGAACCAUCGAGUCUUUGAACGCAAGUUGCGCCCGAAGCCAUUAGGCCGAGGGCACGCCUGCCUGGGCGUCACACGUCGUUGCCCCCCCAUCUACUCCUUCGGGAUUGCGGGGGGCGGAUGAUGGCCUCUCGUGCGCCUCGUCGCGCGGUUGGCCUAAAUGCCAAGUCCUCGGCGACGCACGCCACGACAAUCGGUGGUUGCGAAACCUCGGUUGCCUGUCGUGUGCGGUCGUUGCGCAUCGAGGGCUCGAAAAAAUUGCCGGGCUUCGGCUCGACUUUCAACGCGACCCCAGGUCAGGCGGGGUUACCCGCUGAAUUUAAGCAUAUCAAUAAGCGGAGGA